ACGCGAAAGCCCCCUUCGGGGGGCAAGUAGAGUGGCGCACGGGUGAGUAACACGUAGGUAAUCUACCUUUGGAUGGGGAAUAACAACCGGAAACGGUUGCUAAUACCGCAUAAUGCAGCGGCACCUAAUGGUGACAGUUGUUAAAGCGGGGGAUCGUAAGACCUCGCGUCUGAAGAGGAGCCUGCGGCGGAUUAGCUAGUUGGUAAGGUAACGGCUUACCAAGGCGAUGAUCCGUAGCCGGCCUGAGAGGGCGGUCGGCCACACUGACACUGACAUACGGGUCAGACUCCUACGGGAGGCAGCAGUCGGGGAUUUUGGGCAAUGGGCGAAAGCCUGACCCAGCAACGCCGCGUGAAGGAUGAAAUCCUUUGGGAUGUAAACUUCGCAAGAACGGGAAGAAUAAGUAAGAGCUAACAUCUCUUAUGAUGACGGUACUGUUUGUAAGCUCCGGCUAACUCCGUGCCAGCAGCCGCGGUAAUACGGGGGGAGCAAGCGUUG
rnacentral:rRNA from 1 species